UGGGGAAGUUUUGGAUCAAUGGGGCGAACCCGUACGAUCCAGCAAUGCCGCGUGUGCGAAGAAGGCCUUCGGGUUGUAAAGCACUUUUGUUCGGGAAGAAAGCGCCUGGGUGAAUAUCCUGGGUGGAUGACGGUACCGGAAGAAUCAGCACCGGCUAACUACGUGCCAGCAGCCGCGGUAAUACGUAGGGUGCAAGCGUUAAUCGGAAUUACUGGGCGUAAAGCGUGCGCAGGCGGUUGGUUAAGACAGAUGUGAAAUCCCGGCUGCACAU
rnacentral:rRNA from 1 species